rnacentral:rRNA from 1 species
GGGGGAUAUUGCGCAAUGGGGGAAACCCUGACGCAGCAACGCCGCGUGAAGGAAGAAGGUCUUCGGAUUGUAAACUUUUGUCUUGUGGGAAGAUAAUGACGGUACCACAGGAGGAAGCUCCGGCUAACUACGUGCCAGCAGCCGCGGUAAUACGUAGGGAGCAAGCGUUGUCCGGAUUUACUGGGUGUAAAGGGUGCGUAGGCGGCCUUUCAAGUCAGGUGUGAAAUUUAUGGGCUUAACCCAUAAACGGCACUUGAGACUGGAAGGCUUGAGUGAUGGAGAGGUAAGCGGAAUUCCUAGUGUAGCGGUGAAAUGCGUAGAUAUUAGGAGGAACACCAGUGGCGAAGGCGGCUUACUGGACAUUAGCUGACGCUGAGGCACGAAAGCGUGGGGAGCAAAC